UGAAAGAGGUAUGUGACUGUAGGUGGAGUGAGAGGUAUGUAACUGUAGGUGGAGGUAAAGAGGUAUGUAACUGUAGGUGGAGUGAGAGGUAUGUAACUGUAGGUGGAGGUAAAGAGGUAUGUAACUGUAGGUGGAGUGAAAGAGGUAUGUGACUGUAGGUGGAGUGA